UACGGGGGAUGCAAGCGUUAUCCGGAUUUAUUGGGUUUAAAGGGUGCGCAGGCGGAGGUGCAAGUCAGCGGUCAAAGCCCGGGGCUCAACCCCGGCCCGCCGUUGAAACUGGCAGUCUCGAGUUGGAGAGAAGUACGCGGAAUGCGCGGUGUAGCGGUGAAAUGCUUAGAUAUCGCGCAGAACCCCGAUUGCGAAGGCAGCGUACCGGCUCCACACUGACGCUGAGGCACGAAAGCGUGGGUAUCGAACAGG
rnacentral:rRNA from 1 species